rnacentral:misc_RNA from 1 species
GAUGAAUCCAAAACCUCUAGGCCUUUGUGUGUUAUGGUCAUACAUCACCACGACAUCUGUGAUUGUCCCAAAUUGGUCAAAAUACUUCUUGAAUUCACUCUCAGUGACUGAGGAUGCCAAACCUCCGACAAAAAUCUUUCUGGUGCGGGCAGGACCUGGAGAACCCUGUAUGCUUCCGUUGCGAUUAACAUGUUGAUCGUCCCUCGGAACAGCUUUUUUUGCCUCUACAGUUCUACCAUCA